rnacentral:rRNA from 1 species
AGCCUUGAGAAGUUAUUUUAGGUUUGACCUGCCCAAUGCGUAAGUAAAUGGCCGCGGUACCCUGACCGUGCUAAGGUAGCGUAAUCAGUUGGCUUUUAAAUGGAGUCAGGUAUGAAUGGGAGAACCGGGCUCGGCUGUCUCAAAACUACUUUGUUGAACUUACCUUUUAGGUGAAAAGGCCUAAAUUGAGAAAAGGGACGAGAAGACCCUUAGAAUUUUUUUUAAUGGGGAAGUUUUCUUUAAUGAUUUUGUUGGGGCGAUAAUUAUACAUAUUGGAACUUCAAGUUUUAUACAUGCCGAUUUUUAUAAGAAAGAAUAAAUUACCUGAGGGAUAACAGCAUAAUUCUAUAGAAGAGUUUGUGACCUCGAUGUUGGACUAGGAAACUAACAAGCUAGCCGUUUGUUGUGUGGGUUCUGUUCGAACUAUAAAUCCU